CCCACGCCCCACAGAAUCUCAUUUAGUGUAGCCAAGACAUGCUGCCAGCUGGGGCAGAUUCCAUUCCAUUCACUGGGACCUUUCAUAGAGAAUUUCAGAUUCCUUGAUGUAGCACUUAGCCCUGGGAGUCCAAAGAUGCAUGAAGCCCAGAGACUGCCCUUGGGACUAACAUCUAUUUUCUGAAUUAUAUUCACUGCUCACUGAGCCCACUCUGCUGUCCUUCCAGAUGCUGGCCUGGGGCAUGACUGACGACAGCAGACCACUGGAUGUCCUUCCUGAUCUAAACCAUUAGGAGGUUCCUCUCAUUAAAUACAGCUCCAAGUUCUCAGCUUGACUUGCCAUCUUUGAGACUCAGAAGGGAGGUGUUACUUUCGGUGGGACCAGGCUCGGGAGCAGCGUGGGCGGCUGAAUUCCACAGAAGCAGAGACCUCAUUGUGACCAUCAGCCCCAACUUGCUUUCAUGGCUUUUUCAGCAGCGCUUCCCACACCAGCUGAAUAAGGGGUAGCAUUUCUCCCUCAGGCCCCUCUCCGAUGCUUCCUGUCCUCUAAGAGGGGUGGAAAGUGAGAGGGAAAAGCUUCGCAGGUCUGAAUUAUCCUCAGCACAGACAAUCAGCCAGGGGAAAACCAGGAACAACUGGGGUUUCCCGGAUAUUCGUUGCUCUGCUUUACAGACCCAUCACUCAGUGGGCCCUGAGUCAGGGGUAAUUUACUAGUCUCAUUACUUCACAGUGGGUGGAAGCUUCCAGUUGGCUUGCAGCCCUCUAAAGCUUUUAUAAAAAAGCCAAUUUUCGGCCAUGUUGAGCUUUUAGGCUCUAGGCAGAGCUUUAAUACACUGAGCCCCAAAGGACUUCCCUGACUUAGGGGGCUCUAGACAGCAGCCCUGACGCAUGGACCGAUCUAUUUCUUGCCCAAAUUUUAAAAGUCCAAGUCUAUUUUUUCCCCUUUCUGGGAAGCUGACAUAAACAAGUAAGGAUAUGCUAUAAAUGCCUUUCAAGACUCGACUUGCAGGUUCUAAUUAUAAUUAAGAUGAUAACAUUACUUUGAAUUUGCGCUUUCUUCCAGAGUGCUCUGAGCACUCUCAGAUGCGGGCGGCAGGUAUUACACCCUCAUGUGUAUCUACUUGCAGCUUCUAAUUACACCUUCUUUUGAUUGUGAUACUGAACUCACCUUCCUUCCCUGAGCCUGGGGCACAAGGGCUGCCUUGUUGGGCUAACUUCCCUCAGA
rnacentral:lncRNA from 1 species